ACGUAGGGUGCAAGCGUUAAUCGGAAUUACUGGGCGUAAAGCGUGCGCAGGCGGUUUGAAAAGUCAGCUGUGAAAGCCCCGGGCUCAACCUGGGAACUGCGGUUGAAACUCUCAAGCUAGAGUGCGUCAGAGGGGGGUGGAAUUCCACGUGUAGCAGUGAAAUGCGUAGAGAUGUGGAGGAACACCAAUGGCGAAGGCAGCCCCCUGGGAUGACACUGACGCUCAUGCACGAAAGCGUGGGGAGCAAACAG
rnacentral:rRNA from 1 species